AACUUUCAACAACGGAUCACUUGGCUCUCGCAUCGAUGAAGAACGCAUCGAAAUGCGAUAUGUAAUGUGAAUUGCAGAAUUCAGUGAAUCAUCGAAUCUUUGAACUCACCUUGCGCUCCUUGGUAUUCCGAGGAGCAUGCCUGUUUGAGUGUCAUUAAUAUAUCAAAACUUCUCUUGUUGGGUGGUUUUGGCUGUGGGGGUUUGCUGGCAUGUGGUUCAGCUCCCCUGAAAUGCAUUAGCAGAACGAACCUUGUUCAUUGGUGUGAUAACUAUCUACGCUAUUGAAUGUGAGGGGGAAGUUCAGCUUUCUAAUGGUCCUUUUUUGGACAAUUCAUCAUUAAUGUGACCUCAAAUCAGGUAGGACUACCCGCUGAACUUAAGCAUAUCAAUAAGCGGAGGCU
rnacentral:misc_RNA from 1 species